UGAUUUUGUGCCCUCUAUUUUUUCAUACACUAAACAAAACCAAAACCCCGAUGCAAAGAUCAAAAGGUACCAAAGAAAAAAGAAAUGGAGUGAAAGACUUCUGGUUGCUCCACCAAAUCAACCUGCUCCUGCUCCUGGAGCUCCAGAGGAAUCACCAGCAUGGAUCACAGUCCUACUGAAGAGGACAUCCCAGUCACGAGGACAGAAUACAAUGACCUGAACCUGAGGUACACCGAGCUGAAGAGUGACCACGUCAACCUGCAGGAAAAGUAUCAACAGCUGCGAGAUGAAAAUGAGAGACUUAAAGAGGAGCUGAAGAAGUCUACAUUUUCAUACUCAAAUAUUAAGUGCAACAUGGUACAACUGUUGUUUAUCACUGGAAUAACAUCUGUGCUCUUUGACUGGUUGUGCACCAAAAUUGCAGGAAGUGUAAAAAUAUUCAGCAAGAAGCUCUCUCU